rnacentral:rRNA from 1 species
UACGAGGGGGGCAAAUGUUGUUCGGAAUCACUGGGCGUAAAGGGAGCGUGAGGCGGGGUCUUAAGUAAAAGUGGUUUAAUCCCGGGGCCCCAACCCCGGACCGGCAUUUUAAACUGGGACUCUUGAAUAGUGGAGAGGUCGGUGGAAUUGGGGGUGUAGCGGUGGAAUGCGUAGAGAUCCCCAAGAACACCAGUUGCGAAGGCGGACCGGACUGGACACAUAUUGACGCUGAGGCUCGAAAGCAUGGGGAGCAACAGG